GUCUGGUAAACUAAUUGGGCUGGAGGCCCAAAGAUACAUACACCCAAGUUAGAAAAGGAUCCAUCCAAACUCAGAACGAAAAAACACAUUCCCAAUUCUACACACGUCCUCUCCGUCUCCGCCGCGCCGGAGCUCUUUGGCGGUGACGGCGGAGCUCACAACAAAGCACCUCAAUCUCUUCACCCUUGCCUCACGGUCACCUAUCCACCAACCAAAACCUCUCAAACUCAAACACGGAGCCGAAUCGAAGAAGGAAGACAAACGGAAAUAUUGAGCAAAACGCGAUGAAACGUGAAACAAGCUAAGGGAUAAAGCUUCUCAGAUGAAACGAGCUCGCGGCGGAAAGACGGAGGGAAACGCAGCUCCGACGCGGAGACCUCGGUGAAACGAAGGCAAAGGUUCAGAUGUGGUAGUGAGUGGUGCAUAUGUUUUCUAUGUUUGACGGUUGCUUGUGUUGUGAUGCAUCUCAUUCAAACACCUUGUCAUUGUGAGCUGCUGAUGUGUGCAUUGUUGUCGCUGGUUCAGAUGUUGGGGGCUUGGGAAUUGCUGAUGUUUGUCAUGCCAAAGUAUCGUCCAUGGUGGUCAUGGAGUGUAGUAUUUAGGACUAUGUUGUGUAGCAUAAAAAAUAAAAACUAGUGUAGGAUUUGGACCUCUUUGUAAGAACAACAAGUAAUGUCACAUUUCAUUGCCCAUUCUAGCAAUGUAUUGAUAUGGUUUAAGCUUAGGACUUGUAUUGUUGUUUGUAGCAUGAUGUAUGGAGUCUUGAAACAUGUAAUGAGGUCACACUUUUGUAAUCAAAUUCUUCACCAAAUCACAAUGCAAAUCUCAUGGAUGGAUGCAAGUAAAGAGUGAAUGUCA